CCAGCUCCCUCACGCACCGCACUGAUGCCGGAGCCGGAAUAUGACAUCAUAUUCCGGCUGCGGCAUCAGUAUGCGGCGCGUGAGGGAGCUGAACAGGG